GAUCAUGGCUCAGAUUGAACGCUGGCGGCAUGCCUUACACAUGCAAGUCGAACGGCAGCACGGGAGCUUGCUCCUGGUGGCGAGUGGCGAACGGGUGAGUAAUACAUCGGAACGUACCCUGAAGUGGGGGAUAACGUAGCGAAAGUUACGCUAAUACCGCAUAUUCUGUGAGCAGGAAAGAGGGGGGAUCGCAAGAUCUCUUGCUUUAGGAGCGGCCGAUGUCGGAUUAGCUAGUUGGUGAGGUAAAGGCUCACCAAGGCGACGAUCCGUAGCGGGUCUGAGAGGAUGAUCCGCCACACUGGGACUGAGACACGGCCCAGACUCCUACGGGAGGCAGCAGUGGGGAAUUUUGGACAAUGGGCGCAAGCCUGAUCCAGCCAUGCCGCGUGAGUGAAGAAGGCCUUCGGGUUGUAAAGCUCUUUCGGUGGGGAAGAAAUUGCUUCGGUUAAUACCUGGAGUAGAUGACGGUACCCGCAUAAGAAGCACCGGCUAACUACGUG
rnacentral:rRNA from 1 species